rnacentral:rRNA from 1 species
GACGAACGCUGGCGGCGUGCCUAAUACAUGCAAGUAGGACGCAGUUGCGAACGGGUGAGUAACGCGUCGGUAACUGCCUAUUAGAGGGGGAUAACUAUUGGAAACGAUAGCUAAUACCGCAUACUAGUAGAUGGACCUGCGUUGUAUUAGCGAGUAGGUAGGGUAAUGGCCUACCUAGGAAACGAUACAUAGCCGACCGGCGAGGGUUAGCGGCCACACGGGUGCUGAGACACGGCCCAGACUCCUACGGGAGGCAGCAGUAGGGAAUCUUCGGCAAUGGGGGGAACCCUGACCGAGCAACGCCGCGUGAGUGAAGAAGGUUUUCGGAUCGUAAAGCUCUGUUGUUAAGGAAGCGGUACUUAACCAGAAAGGGACGGCUAACUACGUGCCAGCAGCCGCGGUAAUAC